GUAGCGCAAUGGAUAGCGCGUUGGGCUUUUAACACAAAGGUCGUGGGUUCGAAACCCGCGACCA